rnacentral:rRNA from 1 species
AUGAACGCUAGCGACAGGCCUAACACAUGCAAGUCGAGGGGCAGCGGGGAGGUAGCAAUACCUUUGCCGGCGACCGGCGCACGGGUGAGUAACACGUAUGCAAUCCACCUGUAACAGGGGGAUAACCCGGAGAAAUCCGGACUAAUACCCCAUAAUAUGGGCUCUCCGCAUGGAGGGUUCAUUAAAGAGAGCAAUCUUGGUUACAGACGAGCAUGCGCUCCAUUAGCCAGUUGGCGGGGUAACGGCCCACCAAAGCGACGAUGGAUAGGGGUUCUGAGAGGAAGGUCCCCCACAUUGGAACUGAGACACGGUCCAAACUCCUACGGGAGGCAGCAGUGAGGAAUAUUGGUCAAUGGUCGGCAGACUGAACCAGCCAAGUCGCGUGAGGGAAGACGGCCCUACGGGUUGUAAACCUCUUUUGUCGGAGAGUAAAGUACGCUACGUGUAGCGUAUUGCAAGUAUCCGAAGAAAAAGCAUCGGCUAACUCCGUGCCAGCAGCCGCGGUAAUACGGAGGAUGCGAGCGUUAUCCGGAUUUAUUGGGUUUAAAGGGUGCGUAGGCGGCACGCCAAGUCAGCGGUGAAAUUUUCGGGCUCAACCCGGACUGUGCCGUUGAAACUGGCGAGCUAGAGUGCACAAGAGGCAGGCGGAAUGCGUGGUGUAGCGGUGAAAUGCAUAGAUAUCACGCAGAACCCCGAUUGCGAAGGCAGCCUGCUAGGGUGCGACAGACGCUGAGGCACGAAAGCGUGGGUAUCGAACAGGAUUAGAUACCCUGGUAGUCCACGCAGUAAACGAUGAAUACUAACUGUUUGCGAUACAAUGUAAGCGGUACAGCGAAAGCGUUAAGUAUUCCACCUGGGGAGUACGGCCGCAAGGUUGAAACUCAAAGGAAUUGACGGGGGCCCGCACAAGCAGCGGAGCAUGUGGUUUAAUUCGAAGCAACGCGAAGAACCUUACCAGGUCUUGACAUCCCGAUGCUAUUUCUAGAGAUAGAAAGUUACUUCGGUACAUCGGUGACAGGUGGUGCAUGGUUGUCGUCAGCUCGUGCCGUGAGGUGUCGGCUUAAGUGCCAUAACGAGCGCAACCCCUAUCGACAGUUACUAACGGGUCAAGCCGAGGACUCUGUCGAGACUGCCGGCGCAAGCCGCGAGGAAGGUGGGGAUGACGUCAAAUCAGCACGGCCCUUACGUCCGGGGCGACACACGUGUUACAAUGGCAGGUACAGAAGGCAGCCAGUCAGCAAUGACGCGCGAAUCCCGAAAACCUGUCUCAGUUCGGAUUGGAGUCUGCAACCCGACUCCAUGAAGCUGGAUUCGCUAGUAAUCGCGCAUCAGCCAUGGCGCGGUGAAUACGUUCCCGGGCCUUGUACACACCGCCCGUCAAGCCAUGGAAGCCGGGAGUACCUGAAGCAUGCAACCGCAAGGAGCGUACGAAGGUAAUACCGGUAACUGGGGCU